rnacentral:rRNA from 1 species
CCUUCGGGGGGCAGCAGUGGGGAAUAUUGCGCAAUGGGCGAAAGCCUGACGCAGCGACGCCGCGUGAGGGAUGAAGGUCUUCGGAUCGUAAACCUCUGUCAGCAGGGAAGAACGGUCACUGUGCUAAUCAGCAGUGAAUUGACGGUACCUGCAAAGGAAGCACCGGCUAACUCCGUGCCAGCAGCCGCGGUAAUACGGAGGAUGCGAGCGUUAUCCGGAUUUAUUGGGUUUAAAGGGUGCGUAGGCGGUUUUUUAAGUUAGUGGUUAAACGUCGGGGCUUCACCUUGAUUUGCCAUUAAUACUGUAAGACUCGAGUUCAGACGAGGUAGGCGGAAUAAGUUAAGUAGCGGUGAAAUGCUUAGAUAUAACUUAGAACUCCGAUAGCGAAGGCAGCUUACCAGACUGCGACUGACGCUGAAGCACGAGAGCGUGGGUAGCGAACAGGAUUAGAUACCCUAGUAGUC